UCAUCCUUUCCCGGGAAAACAUAGACUUUUGUCAAGCCCAGGCACCAGGGCUUUUGGCUGGGAGCACUCUGGUUAAUUAGAGAUAGCAUGAGGCCUGCUGUGAAGACUGCCUCAGAGACGCAGGACAGACUGCUUUCAGCGGCUGCUAAGAGAGGAACGGUGACAAACCUGCUCCUUUCUGAGUGGGUAUGCUCUCCGCAGAUUAUGUAACAAGCAACAAUGAAUGGCUUUCUUGCAGGCCAUGGAAAGCACAGCACGGUUCAAAGCAGCGAAGGACAGUUUUUAAAAGGCUACAAUUUUCCUCGGGAUUUUAGGUCAAUCCUCUAACCUAUCUCAAGAUCUCCAAACAUUUUUCCAGGUCCCGAACCCCAUGGAGGUGACUGUCACAAAUAGCCCUCGUCAAGGUCCUCGACAGAACACUCACUUGUAUUUUCCACGGCUGUGCUGAGCACAUGGGCCCAAGCACAGGGGGGCAAACUCCUCCUCACAUCUCCUAAUAGAGGGAGGAAAGAAGCUGAAGAACACCAAGCAGCGGUCAGAGUACGGUAAAGCCAAGGGAUAAAACACCUCGUAGCCGCUGAAAAUGAUAGUUUUAUUCUGUAGUGAGGAUUAAAAAUCACCAGAAUAUAUUAACAGGAAAAAAACACAAGCAGAAUUUGAUCUCAUUUACGGAAAGAUGUAUAGACUUCAUAAAUGAAGAGGUCUGCAGGGAUGCUCAAGAAUUGACAUCUCUGGGUGAAGAGAUUUCAGACUAGUUUUGAAUAUUUCUCCAGUUGGGUCAUGAGACUGUGGUUUUGAAUCAUCUAGACCCAAACACCACUCAGCUGACUUUGGCUCCUUGGAGUAGAUAAAGAGAUGUUUGACCAAAUGUAUUGGCUCAUCAAACCACAAAAUAUUUAAAGGCAUCAAAAGAACUAUAGUUCUGAACCCUAUAAUCUAACAGAGCUUCCAGAAUUGGAAGGACUCAGGCAGAACCCAAUCACCUAACAUGCCAGGGAGCAUAUGUGUUAUGCUGAACUGACU